rnacentral:misc_RNA from 1 species
GAAAUGCGAUAAGUAGUGUGAAUUGCAGAAUUCAGUGAAUCAUCGAAUCUUUGAACGCAUAUUGCGCCCUUUGGUAUUCCUUAGGGCAUGCCUGUUCGAGCGUCAUCUAAACCUUCAAGCCCUGCUUGGUGUUGGGUGCCUGUCCCGCCUCCGCGCGCGGACUCACCUCAAAUCCAUUGGCGGCCCCCGCGUCGGCCACGAGCGCAGCAGAAACGCGAACUCCUGAGCCCGUCCGGGCGGCUCCCAGAAGCUACACCCACCCAGUUUGACCUCGGAUCAGGUAGGGAUACCCGCUGAACUUAAGC